rnacentral:rRNA from 1 species
GCCAGACUCCUACGGGAGGCAGCAGUGGGGGAUAUUGCACAAUGGGGGGAACCCUGAUGCAGCGACGCCGCGUGGGUGAAGGAGCGUUUCGGCGCGUAAAGCCCUAUCGGCAGGGAAGAAGGAGGACGGUACCUGACUAAGAAGCCCCGGCUAACUACGUGCCGGCAGCCGCGGUAAUACGUAGGGGGCAAGCGUUAUCCGGAUUUACUGGGUGUAAAGGGGGCGCAGACGGCAGCGCAAGCCAGGAGUGAAAGCCCGGGGCCCAACCCCGGGACUGCUCUUGGAACUGCGCGGCUGGAGUGCAGGAGGGGCAGGCGGAAUUCCUGGUGUAGCGGUGAAAUGCGUAGAUAUCAGGAGGAACACCGGUGGCGAAGGCGGCCUGCUGGACUGCGACUGACGUUGAGGCCCGAAAGCGUGGGGAGCAAACAGGAUUAGAUACCCUCGUAU